rnacentral:misc_RNA from 1 species
AAGCCAAGCUGAAAAUAGGUAACACAUUGGUUUCUUAAAUAUUACUGAGGCAAUCUGCUCGUUGGAAUUUUAGGUCCAUGAGCUCACGAGUGUCAAAUGCUCAUAUAAACUAAAAUGGACUUGGUUUGCCCUUUAUAAAUUCCUUUUGGCCCAUAUCCUUGACUGAUGUGGGACAUUUUCCCAGAUUUAACAUUCAGUAACACUAGACUACCAAUGGUCAUGAUUCCAGAAAUAUAACGCUCAUUGGUACUAAUGUUGUUUCCUUAGCUAAUUGAUCGAAAUUAUUG